rnacentral:rRNA from 1 species
UACGGGGGGAGCAAGCGUUGUUCGGAUUUACUGGGCGUAAAGGGCGCGUAGGCGGCGCAACAAGUCACUUGUGAAAUCUCCGGGCUUAACCCGGAGCGGCCAAGUGAUACUGUCGUGCUAGAGUGCGGAAGGGGCUACUGGAAUUCUCGGUGUAGAGGUGAAAUUCGUAGAUAUUCGCAAGAACACCAGUGGCGAAGGCGGCUCACUGGCCCGGUACUGACGCUGAGGCACGAAAGCGUGGGGAGCAAACAGG